GAGAGAGACAUGCGCGCAUAUCAAUAAGCGGAGGAAAAGAAACUAACAAGGAUUCCCCUAGUAACGGCGAGUGAAGCGGGAAGAGCUCAAAUUUGAAAUCUUAAAGGGUUUCCCUUUACGAAUUGUAGUUUAAAGAAGUGUUUUCUGUUGAGGUUUUGGUAAAAGUUCUUUGGAAUAGGACAUCAUAGAGGGUGAGAAUCCCGUAUUUGACCUUUACUUUCAACUUUGUGAUACACUUUCAAAGAGUCGGAUUGUUUGGGAAUGCAGUCCAAAAUGGGUGGUAAAUUUCAUCUAAAGCUAAAUAUUGGCGAGAGACCGAUAGCGAACAAGUACCGUGAGGGAAAGAUGAAAAGAACUUUGAAAAGAGAGUUAAACAGUACGUGAAAUUGUCAAAAGGGAAGCGUUUGACACCAGUGUUGUUUUUCUGAAAAUCAAUUAAAGAACUGUUUAUGCUAAGCUGUUUAGACUUUAUCAGCUAACUGUUUAGUUUUGAGCUUUUCUUUAAUGCACUUUUCAGUUAACAAGAUCAACAUCAAUUUCUUUUGCUGUAAAAAAGCUUGAGGAAGGUGGCUUGAGAUUCGUCUUAAGUGUUUAUAGCCUCUUGCCUAUGCAGUCGGAGAGAUUGAGGUCUGCAGCGUAGAUCCUUCGGGGCUAAAUGCAUUUGUGCUAAGUUAUAGCCUUUCAUAGACAACUUGUUGACUAUGAUCUAGUCAUGUAGCUUACUCGCUUAUGCUAUUUUACCUACGCUUAGGAUGUUGAGCGCAUGUCUCUCUCU
rnacentral:rRNA from 1 species